rnacentral:tRNA from 1 species
GGAUAUAGCUCAAUGGUAGAGCGCAUGCUUAGCAUGCGUGAGGUUCUGGGUUCAAUCCCCAGUACUUCCA